rnacentral:rRNA from 1 species
UACGUAGGGGGCAAGCGUUGUCCGGAUUUAUUGGGCGUAAAGCGCGUGUAGGCGGCCUUCUAAGUCUGGUGUGAAAGCCCGGGGCUCAACCCCGGAAGUGCAUUGGAUACUGGGAGGCUGGAGUACCGGAGAGGAGGGUGGAAUUCCUGGUGUAGCGGUGAAAUGCGUAGAUAUCAGGAGGAACACCGGUGGCGAAGGCGGCCCUCUGGACGGAUACUGACGCUGAGACGCGAAAGCGUGGGGAGCAAACAGG